AACGAACGCUGGCGGCAUGCCUAACACAUGCAAGUCGAACGAGACCUUCGGGUCUAGUGGCGCACGGGUGCGUAACACGUGGGAAUCUGCCCUUGGGUUCGGAAUAACAGUUGGAAACGACUGCUAAUACCGGAUGAUGACGUAAGUCCAAAGAUUUAUCGCCCAAGGAUGAGCCCGCGUCGGAUUAGCUAGUUGGUGGGGUAAAGGCCUACCAAGGCGACGAUCCGUAGCUGGCUGAGAGGAUGAUCAGCCACACUGGGACUGAGACACGGCCCAGACUCCUACGGGAGGCAGCAGUGGGGAAUAUUGGACAAUGGGCGAAAGCCUGAUCCAGCAAUGCCGCGUGAGUGAUGAAGGCCUUAGGGUUGUAAAGCUCUUUUACCCGGGAUGAUAAUGACAGUACCGGGAGAAUAAGCCCCGGCUAACUCCGUGCCAGCCGCCGCCGUAA
rnacentral:rRNA from 1 species